UAGGGAAUUUUCGUCAAUGGGCGCAAGGCCUGAACGAGCAAUGCCGCGUGAACGAGGAAGGUCUUCGGAUCGUAAAGUUCUGUUGAAGGGGAAAAAGAGCGGAGAGAGGAAAUGCUUUCUGAUUGAUAUUACCCUUCGAGGAAGUCACGGCUAACUACGUGCC
rnacentral:rRNA from 1 species